CUGAAGCUCACCGCUAGAGCUAAACUUUGUAGAACAGCAGUGUCAAACUUAGUUCCUGGAUGGCUAUAGUCCUGAACAGUUUAGUUCCAACCCUGCUCCAACACACAUACUUGUUUUAGACAAGCCUGAAGGACUCAUUUAGUUUGACCAGGUGUGUUUACUUAGGGUUGGAACUAAACUGUGCAGAGCUGCGGCCCUCGACCUGAGUUUGACACCUGUGCUGUAGAAUAUCUCAAAUUAAGUAAACAUUGUCCUGCCUUGAUCCAGGAGCAGGAGCAGUUCCGGGUGGGGCUGGGGUUCUACCUGGUGGCGCUGGAGUUCUUCCUGGUGGGGCUGGAGGAAUCUACCCUGCACCCGGAGGUAAAAAAAGAUAUAAAAGUAUAUAAAAAGAUAUUUGGAGCAACAGAAUGUGUUUAUGGUUUUAGUAAUGUCUUACAUUUUCAGUCUUUAACAUGUAAUUCAGAGUCUAUUUUAUUGGUCCUAUAACAGCUUUUCUAUCGAGACAACAUUAUCCUAUUCUCAUCUGUGACCUCAGUCCUAUCCUCACCCUCUCACUGUCUAAGAUGAAUGAUUUAUUAGGAAAAAGGAUGUCUUGCCAAAAACCGCUUGACAGUCAGUCUAUUAGAAUGAUAUAGUAGUGCUAAAUCUUUGUUGUUGUUGUUUACCUGUGUGUGAAGGUGCUGGUGCACUCUCCCCCGCUCAGGCAAAAGCUGCUAAAUAUGGUAAGCAUGUGUAUUUACUGAUAUACCUGGGUUACUUAAUUACAUCUCAAGUUAAUCUUACCUAAACAAGCCAAUAAAUGUCUUUAGUUAAAAGUACAAGAUAAAGCUCACUGUUCGACUUAGACUCUGUAGAACAAUAGUCCUCUUGCAGCAGGACUUAAGACACCUGAAACAUAAAAUUGGGAAUCUCAGAUUAAGUGUCCAUUGUCCUGCCUUUAUCCAGGAGCAGUUCCUGGUGGUGCUGGAGUUCUUCCUGGUGGUGCUGGAGUUCUUCCUGGUGGUGCUGGAGUUCUUCCUGGUGGGGCCGGGAUUGUGCCAGGAGCUGGAGGAGUCUAUCCUGCGCCAGGAGGUGCUGGUGCACUCUCCCCCGCUCAGGCAAAAGCUGCUAAAUAUGGUGCAGGAGCAGUUCCUGGUGGUGCCGGGAUUCUUCCUGGUGGUGCUGGGAUUCUUCCUGGUGGUGCUGGGAUUCUUCCUGGUGGUGCCGGGAUUCUUCCUGGUGGUGCUGGGAUUGUGCCAGGAGCUGGAGGAGUUUACCCUGGAGCAGGAGGUGCUGGUGCACUCUCCCCCGCUCAGGCAAAAGCUGCUAAAUAUGGUGCAGGAGCAGUUCCUGGUGGGGCUGGGGUUCUUCCUGGUGGUGCCGGUAUUGUUCCAGGUAGGACUGGGAUUGUUCCUGCUGGACCUGGGAUUGUUCCAGGAGCUGGGGGAGUCUACCCUGCAACAGGAGGUCUUACACCAGCUCAAGCCAAAGCAGCUAAAUACGGUCUAGGUGCGGCAGGUGGAGCUGGUGCUGUUCCGGGUGUUGGAGGACUGUACCCUGGAGCAGGGGGAGCUGGAGUUGCCCCAGGCUAUGGUUCUGUGGCUGGGCUUGGAGGACAGCUUGGGGCUGGAGGGCUAGCAGCUGGAGCCAAACCUCCUAAAUAUGGUAAGGGCUUGACUCUUUUCUGUUUCAGCUGUCUUGGCAGUGUUAUUCAGCUGUUUGUACAUGUGUUGCUCUACAGUUUGUGUUUGAAUGUUGUUUGUAAUAGAAAAUAG
rnacentral:lncRNA from 1 species